AUGCAAAGCUGAAAAGCGACUAAAAUUGGAACGAUACAGAGAAGAUUAGCAUGGUCCCUGCGCAAGGAUGACACACAAAUUCGUGAAGCGUUCCAUAGUUUU
rnacentral:snRNA from 1 species